rnacentral:misc_RNA from 1 species
AGACGCUCCAUUUAUCUCAGAAUCAUCAAGACUCCCUUCAUUACCACCCAAAUCAACAGUAUAUCGGCCCCCAAACUCCCUCUCAACUGAAACUUCAGUUGCAACCAAAUCACUACUGCCGAAACCUUCCUUCCCAAUUAUAGAAACCCUAACUCCAUUUUCUCUAUUACUUUUAACUGGAGGAUUUUUGGAGGCAUCUUUAGAGAGUU